AGUGAACGCUGGCGGUAGGCCUAACACAUGCAAGUCGAACGGCAGCACAGUAAGAGCUUGCUCUUACGGGUGGCGAGUGGCGGACGGGUGAGGAAUACAUCGGAAUCUACUUUUUCGUGGGGGAUAACGUAGGGAAACUUACGCUAAUACCGCAUACGACCUACGGGUGAAAGCAUGGGAUCUUCGGACCUUGCGCGAUUGAAUGAGCCGAUGUCGGAUUAGCUAGUUGGCGGGGUAACGGCCCACCAAGGCGACGAUCCGUAGCUGGUCUGAGAGGAUGAUCAGCCACACUGGAACUGAGACACGGUCCAGAGUCCUACGGGAGGCAGCAGUGGGGAAUAUUGGACGAAGGGCGCAAGCCUGAUCCAGCCAUACCGCGUGGGUGAAGAAGGCCUGCGGGUUGUAAAGCCCUUUUGUUGGGAAAGAAAAGCAGCAGGUUAAUACCCCGCUGUUCUGACGGUACCCAAAGAAUAAGCACCGGCUAACUUCGUG
rnacentral:rRNA from 1 species